rnacentral:siRNA from 1 species
CAGGGUUUAAAAAUGGAUCUGGCC